rnacentral:rRNA from 1 species
GACAAACGCUGGCGGCGUGCUUAACACAUGCAAGUCGAACGGUAAGGCUCCAGCUUGCUGGGGUACACGAGUGGCGAACGGGUGAGUAACACGUGGGUGACCUGCCCUGCACUUCGGGAUAAGCCUGGGAAACUGGGUCUAAUACCGGAUAGGACCGCACCGUGAGGGUGUGGUGGAAAGUUUUUUCGGUGUGGGAUGGGCCCGCGGCCUAUCAGCUUGUUGGUGGGGUAAUGGCCUACCAAGGCGGCGACGGGUAGCCGGCCUGAGAGGGUGGACGGCCACAUUGGGACUGAGACACGGCCCAGACUCCUACGGGAGGCAGCAGUGGGGAAUAUUGCACAAUGGGCGGAAGCCUGAUGCAGCGACGCCGCGUGGGGGAUGACGGCCUUCGGGUUGUAAACUCCUUUCACCAUCGACGAAGGGUUUCUGACGGUAGAUGGAGAAGAAGCACCGGCUAACUACGUG